rnacentral:lncRNA from 1 species
GCCGAGUGUGUCGCCGCGGCCAUCAGGGCAUAGAUAAGGAAGAAAAAAGUUUUGGAAACUACUUCUGAGAGGGAAAAAUAUGCCUGAAAUUAACCAACAGCCAGCUUGUACUUAACAUACAAAAUAAACAAAAGAAUCAACUAUUGUGUAAGGAGAGAACCCCGAAAUGUUCCUCGUUAAUCGAAAUUCAAGAGUAUUAGCGUCGGGAAAGAUCUAGAGAGUCAACUCCCUCAUAUUAAAGAAGAGAAGAUGGAUUGCUGUCCUACAUUCAAAGGAGGCCAUUAGGAGCAUGAACCAAGG